AUUGAACGCUGGCGGCAUGCCUUACACAUGCAAGUCGAACGGCAGCGGACCUUCGGGUGCCGGCGAGUGGCGAACGGGUGAGUAAUAUAUCGGAACGUACCUUUCAGUGGGGGAUAACGUAGCGAAAGUUACGCUAAUACCGCAUAUUCUGUGAGCAGGAAAGCAGGGGAUCGCAAGACCUUGCGCUGAUUGAGCGGCCGAUAUCAGAUUAGCUAGUUGGUGAGGUAAAGGCUCACCAAGGCGACGAUCUGUAGCGGGUCUGAGAGGAUGAUCCCCCACACUGGUACUGAGACACGGACCAGACUCCUACGGGAGGCAGCAGUAAGGAAUAUUGGUCAAUGGGCGCAAGCCUGAACCAGCCAUGCCGCGUGCAGGAAGACGGCCUUAUGGGUUGUAAACUGCUUUUAUAAGGGAAUAAACCCACGUUCGAGAGCGUGGUUGAAGGUACCUUAUGAAUAAGCACCGGCUAACUCCGUGCCAGCAGCC
rnacentral:rRNA from 1 species